UACGGAGGGUGCAAGCGUUAUCCGGAUUCACUGGGUUUAAAGGGUGUGUAGGCGGCUUUAUAAGUCAUUGGUGAAAGCUCGCAGCUUAACUGUGAAACUGCCAAUGAAACUGUUUAGCUUGAAUGUGGUUGAAGUGGGCGGAAUACAACAUGUAGCGGUGAAAUGCUUAGAUAUGUUGUAGAACACCGAUUGCGAAGGCAGCUCACUAAGCCAAUAUUGACGCUGAGGCACGAAAGCGUGGGGAUCAAACAGG
rnacentral:rRNA from 1 species